UUUACUAGGUUGAGGAUUACAAAUCAUGUCAUUGUCUUACAGCCAUGGUGGGCUGAAAUGGGAUGCUGUGCCCACAAAAAUAGAGGCCUCUAACCCACCUCCCCCACUAGAUGUCGAGAGGAAGCGUAAACCUCCGAAGACACGGCAGGAGUUGCCACGUAAAAAACGCAAGCAGAGUCAUGUUCCUCCUCCCUCCAAAGACCAGCACACCGGGGAAGCUGUAGCGGGGCCUUCAACAAUGGAAGAGGGAGACAUUGAGGAUGUGUCAGUAGCACCUUCAUCCGUACAACGGCAUGUUCGUACGGCUGCUGUGAGGGAGCAUUCGCUCACAAUGAAGAUCAGGGAUCUGAAGAAUCAAGUGAGUAAGCUGCGAUCAAAAGUGAAACAGCUGCGACAAACAAAGGUCAGCAGGGCAGGUGAUAAGGAGCGGGUGAUGAAGGAACUGCAGCGUUUGCUUCCUGCUAAAGCUUUUGCUUUUGUGGGCACACAAUUACGCAUGUCUCAGCGAAAGUGUCAAGGUUACAGGUGGACCACUCAGGAUAAAGCUUUCUUCCUGUCCCUGUGGCACGCAAGUCCAAAAUGUUAUCGGCUUCUCUGCAGAGUGUUUUCUAAAAGAACUCCACAUCAUGACCGUCUCCGAACGUUCCCGGAACGUUACUAGGCGACGUCCUUGACACUAGUGGGGACGUUCUGAGAACGUCCUGGGAACGUAACAUUUCUAGCUGGGUUCAGCUUUUAGACAUGGCUGAUGACAGCACUACAAAUCAACAGACUGAAUUAGUAUUUGCUAACGUUUUUAGCUAAAGCAAAGAGUAUAGAAGCCCAAGAGGCGAAACUCUGUUGUGUUAUGGGUAACAGUCUGUAGAUGGCGCUGCGGAGGCGCGGCCGCCAUUAUGGACUGAAAGCUGCUGAAAUCGUUAGCGCCAGUUUGCGCGCCACACAACCAAACUGUGAAGAAGAUGAGCAAGCGGUCAAAACGCAAGCAGUGUUCUGCAAUAAAUUGCAAAAAUUACCAGUCCACCAGAAGCGAUUUGGCAUUUCAUCGAUUUCCAAAGGAUGCACAAAGGUAUAACUCAUUUAAGUGGAAAUUAUUUUAAUGAUGUCGUGAUUUAACUUGAAUGUUGAACGUGAAUGACAGCAUUGUUAGCGUUGGUAAAUCUGCAUGAAUGUUAGGCUAGUGCAUCUCUGUCAAGUUUGCCUUAUAAACUAAUGAUUGACGUAUUAUUAGAUCACAUUUAUUUUCCAUAGCAUAGACAUGCUUUUUUAAGAAUAAAAUUGGUGUUUUGAGUGUGGUGGAUGAAAUAGUGG
rnacentral:lncRNA from 1 species